rnacentral:rRNA from 1 species
GUGGAUUAGAUACCCGGGUAGUCCACGCCCUAAACGAUGUCAACUAGCUGUUGGGGGCUUCGGCCCUUGGUAGCGCAGCUAACGCGUGAAGUUGACCGCCUGGGGAGUACGGUCGCAAGAUUAAAACUCAAAGGAAUUGACGGGGACCCGCACAAGCGGUGGAUGAUGUGGAUUAAUUCGAUGCAACGCGAAAAACCUUACCUACCCUUGACAUGUCUGGAAUGCCGAAGAGAUUUGGCAGUGCUCGCAAGAGAACCGGAACACAGGUGCUGCACGGUCGUCGACAACU